AUGGGAUUAAUAUGUUAUAAAAUAAUAUAUAAAGUAUUGAUCCUCCUGAAUCACUCUCAUUUUCAGGUCAUUAGGAAUUUUGUUGGGAUAAUCCUCCAAAUGAAUUUGAAGCAUUCUAUUCAAAUGUUUAGAAGCAAUUUGCCAGAAACUGAGGACUAUCAUCCUUAAAACUUGCUGCUAAAGUGUGUGGUAAUCAUGGUGUUUGCCAGAUGGGCUCUCAGUGUUUUCACACUAUUGAAAUAAGGGAGGUGUCCAAAAUACAGCUAAUUCUACAUCUGACCUCGUGGCACAGGCAAGUGCUUUAAAAUUUUGUUUAUUGUAUUUUCUCAUUACAUAUAUUUACCAUGGACAGAUAUUAAAUGAAAACCAAUUCAAAUAAGAACAAAGCAACCAUAUUCUUACCACCUAUACAUUACCAGUUAACCCUUCAAAUAUACUGGUGAAUGUUUUUAGUAUGUGAACACACAAUUUUUUGCAGCAAUUUGAAAAAUGAAAGUGAUAGCAGUAUACAAUUUAGCUUCACCCUAUUUGCCCCCAAAUGACUCUGCAACCUGAGUUUGAAUCACUCGUUCUCUCUCUCUCUGCAUGACAUUGGGUACAUUCUUUACCCUCUCUGGGCCUUUCUUUCCUUAUAGGAAAAAUAAUAAUCUAUACCUAGUUGAUGAGGUUCUCUUGAAGACUAAGCAAGUAAAUAGAAAUAAAGUGCUUAGAACAGUACUCAGUUGUUUCAAAAUUAUCCAUUGAUUUUUAUUUUUAUUUUCUGAAAAGUCAGAUAAAUAAUGUAAAUUUGGGCUUUUUUUUUUGUAUCCUGAUACCUUAUUUAAGCUCUUUAUUUAUUGUAAUUACCUUUCUGUUGGUUCUUUUGUGUUUUCACUCUGAAAAUAAUUUUAUCUUCAAAAAGAAAUUGCUUAUAGAUAAUUUUUGUUUUUAGUGUUCAACACUUUUAAAUUUUGAGUUCACCAUGCAAAUUUUCUUGACUACAGCUUUCAGUUCAAUGCUAAAUAGUGAUAAAUAACUUCUUCCUAGUUUUAUUGGGGAUGACGCUCUUGAUGAUCAUUUAAGUAUGAUGUUGACUAAGUUUUUAUUCUUUUUCAUGUUAGGAAGUUAUCAUUUUCUUAGUGAGCUAGAUUAUCAGAAAUUUCUGUUGAUGCUUUAGAUACACAGAUAUCAUUUGAAUCUGUUGAGGUGAUGAUUUCAUUUUCCUCUCUCACUAAUUUUAAGUAUUCUUUGAAUAGCUGGAAGCUUAGUCUUUUAUACAUACUUUAAUUCAAUGUUUAUUUAUUUUUUUAAUUUAUGAGGGACUUUGAAAAAAUGCUCAAAAGUAAAGGUGAUUUAUAGUAUAUUAAAUUCCUUCCUUUAAAGUAUUUUUUAUUCUUUCUUUUGGGUACUCUUAAGGAAGUUAUAGUCACAUUGGAAUCUUUACAAUAUGCUCUGUGGAUAUAUUUUAUCUUUUCUAAUUUGUUAAUUCUGUUGAAUACUUAAUCUAUUUUUCAUUGAAUUUUUAAAAUUCUGAGUUGUGCUUCUAUCAAAAUUUCUAUAAGUGUAUUCUAGAUUAUUUAUAUUAAGGUUUUUAUAUCAUCAACUUUUUAAAUCUUUGGAGAAUGUUUUAAAACAAUAUAUAAUCCAUGUCAUGUUCUAAGUCAAAUAUGUUUUUAUUUAUUCAGUUUAACAUAAGUAACCUUAUUGUUCAAGUUUCAUGUUUUUAUAGUCUGUCUGCUGAACAGAGAUGGGGCUACUUUGUACAAAUUCGUACAAAGCCCAAGUGAUUCACUGAAUUUAUAUUCUAGUCACAAAGCUACCAAGCAUAAGUUGGUGAGUCAUAUCAGUCAUACUUGUUUAGGAAUAAGCAUAUAAUAAGUUGUACUUAUUUAGGAAGGAGAGUCUCUCAGGGAUGAAAAAGAUCGACUAUAAUCGGGAUAACACUAAAGCCAGAAGAAAAAAAUUAAUAUCUGUUUUGAUCCGACAUUAGGAUCUUUUAGGAGUCCGACCUUUAGAAAUACUCUCUUUUCUAAGAAAGGGGUGUUAUUGUCCUUAUUCUUUCCCAAGGUUCUGGCUCUUCCCUCUAUAUUCCUGUUUCCUUCAUCCAGGACAUUUAAAAGAUUUUCUUCUCAGUACUUUUUGACACUCUUUGACACUACCCUCUUAAAUAUCCAGUAUAAUGGCUUUGUCUGCUGAGUUCUCUUAUUGCCCUCCCCUUUUCUCUUUAACAAUUUUGCUAUAUAUAUAGCUUGUAAACACCAAGAUGAAUUUCUUCCAGAAUUUGAUAUUCAGUGUUCAUCCAGCCAUCCAUCAAACACUUAUUGAAAAUCAGCUAUGUGUUAGGCACUAUAAUAGGAAGUAGAAAAUGCUAUCUCCCUAGCUCAGCUAGAAUGUUUAAUCUCUAUACUAAAGAGAUCUUAAUCUUCUGCUUGAACUCUUCAGGGUUCAGUGUCUCCAAUUGGCAUGAGUCUAUCUUUAACUUGAUAACCUAAAGAUACCCAAAACUUUACUAAGUUCUAUCUUUAUUUCUAAAUUUACACUUCUUACCAUUGUUGUCCUGGUUUAUGGUUGAUAGUAAGCUUCUAGGCUCUUAAUAUAUAAUCUUUAUUAAAUUAUUAUUUUAUGCUAAAGUCUUUUUAUUGGGAUAUAGUUGCUUUACAAUAUUGUGUUACUUUCUUCUGUACAACAAAGUGAAUUGGCUAUAUGCAUACAUAUCCCUUCCCUCUUGGACCUCCCUCCCACCCCUCACCUAUACCAUCCAUCUAGGUCAUGACAGAGCACUGAGCUGAACUCCCACUAGCUUUCUGUUUUACACAUAGUAGUGUAUAUAUGUCAAUCCCAGUCUCCUGAUUAAUUUCCCACCCCUCUUCUUCCCCCUCCUUGUGUCCACACAUCCAUUCCCUACAUGUGCAUCUCUAUUUCUGACCUUCAAAUAUGUUUGUCUGUACCAUUUUUCUAGAUUCCACAUACAAGCAUUAGUCCUAUCCCUAUCUGACAUUCAUCAAAAUCCUGUUGUUCACAUAUUUACAUUUGUCCCAAGCUUCUCUACUUUUCUUUAUCUUUGUAUCUGUUACCUUAGUGUUAGAAGCACAAAAUUUGCUUCUUGAUUUUUUACAAGCUCCUAUUCUGUAUCCCUCCCUCUCUCAUCCAUCAACCACAGUGCCAUUAAGGUUCUCCCUGAAAUGUGUAUGGAAUUAAUGAGGUAAUUAAUUCCAGGUCUUCCCUUGGGGCUAGGAUAGUAAAGAAUCUGCUUGCAAUGCAGGAGACCCAGGUUCCAUUCCUAGGUUGGGAAGAUCCCCUGGAGAAAGGAACGGCUACUCACUCCAGUUUUUUUUGCCUGGAGAAUUCCAUGGACAGAGGAGCCCGGCAGGCUACAGUCCAUGGGGUCACAAAAAAUUGGACAUGGCUGAGUGAUGAACACUAAUGAGAUAGUUACCCAUUCAAAAUUUUUGUGAGUUUGCUUUGCUUAGAGGAAAAGCACAAACUCCUCAGCUUGGCAUUUUGUUUUUCUUCACAACUUGGUACCAAGUUCAUUUCUUCUCAGUUUACUUGACACCUCUCUCCCCACUCAUAUGAUGUAGUCAUCUUUAACUACUGUGUAUUGUGGCUUCUUCAUAUUUAGAUCAUUUUCUGAUACAUAGUAGGUAUUCAAAUGGUGUUUGUUGAUCAUUAUUUUGAGAAGACUCAGGUUUAUGAUAAGCAAGACGUUGUGAUCUUCUGGGUGGGUCAGACUGAUGAGAUACUGUUUAAUUUUGUAAUUUAUGAAAGCCUUUGAAGUUUCAUAUUACUGGAAUGCCAGAAAAAUAGGAAUCAUAUAUGUGACUUAGACAGUCAUAUAUGUGACUUAGUCAAUGACUUGGACAGUGACUUCGUCUAGCUGUGUUUUCUGGUUGUUAAAUUGAUGCUUCAAGCACCAGAAAUUUAUUCAGUAUUAUGGUUACAACUGUUUAAUGCUCUAAGAUUGAUUGCUUUCCAUUAUCUGUGGAAGCUAAAGAAAACAAUGGUUUGUAUUUUGAGUAUAAGUUUAACAGACGUGAUGUAACAUAAUUAUUAUAUGAUGUGAGUAUUCUGAUUGAUUCAAAACGGUUGUAUACAUAGACCUCAAAAUAAUUCACCUCCAAGACUGUAUUAUUAUGAUUUUUCCUGGUAGUGAAGUGUUUAUGAUUAUGUAAUUUUCAGUGCUUUUUUUUUAAAGAAUGUAAUUGGGUAUUUGAUUCUUUAACUCAAAGAACUGGGCUGAGAUAGCUAGAAAUAGGAGAGUCAUGAGGAUGUCAUGGAAAAUUUGAAGUGGAGAGUUUCACAUCAAGAUUAAAUAAAUUUAGCAGCUAUUUGGCACAACUUAUUUCAAAUACUUGUUUUUGUCCUGCUUGUCUUCAUCACAUGAAGAGCAGCCAAGCUAGGUUUUUUUCUUAUGAUAUUUUUGUUGAGUUAAAAGGUUUGAACCAAAUGUUAAGUCUCUGAAAUGAUUCUUUACAAAUUUUUACUGCUUGGUCAUAGUCACUUCUUUCCAAGUGUCAAGGUUUGUCAACUCAGUAGUGUAAUAUGUCGGAGAAGGCAAUGGCACCCCACUCCAGUACUC
rnacentral:lncRNA from 1 species